UACGGGGGGAGCAAGCGUUGUUCGGAUUUACUGGGCGUAAAGGGCGCGUAGGCGGUCGUGACAAGUCACUUGUGAAAUCUCCGGGCUUAACUCGGAACGGUCAAGUGAUACUGUCGGACUAGAGUACAGAAGGGGCAACUGGAAUUCUCGGUGUAGCGGUGAAAUGCGCAGAUAUCAGGAGGAGCACCGAUGGCGAAGGCAGGUCUCUGGGCCACUACUGACGCUGAGAAGCGAAAGCAUGGGGAGCGAACAGG
rnacentral:rRNA from 1 species